rnacentral:miRNA from 1 species
UGGCUUAGUGCAGCUCGGGGA